rnacentral:rRNA from 1 species
CAGCAGCCGCGGUAAUACAGAGGGUGCGAGCGUUAAUCGGAUUUACUUGGCGUAAAGCGUGCGUAGGCGGCUUCUUAAGUCGGAUGUGAAAUCCCUGAGCUUAACUUAGGAAUUGCAUUCGAUACUGGGAAGCUAGAGUAUGGGAGAGGAUGGUAGAAUUCCAGGUGUAGCGGUGAAAUGCGUAGAGAUCUGGAGGAAUACCGAUGGCGAAGGCAGCCAUCUGGCCUAAUACUGACGCUGAGGUACGAAAGCAUGGGGAGCAAACAGGAUUAGAGACCCCUGUAGUCCCUGUCUCUUAUAC